GCCUCCUCAUUUUUAUUCACUCUCACCUCCCUGCCCAACCUCCUUGAGCCCUGAGACACAGGGCUUCUAAUAAUUUUGUACAGCAUGCAGCAGAGUUCGACAAAUGCUGCUCCUUACGUCUGCCAAAAAUGAUCUCUGUCUUCUCCUUUGUGUGCCUAAGGAAGGCUGUGCUGGGAGACGGACUGCUGCUGGAGAAGGCAGAGGAGGGAAUCCAGAAGGCUGGCCAGCUUCUCGCUUGGGGAUGGCUGGGGAGAACACCUGGCAUUGGAGUAGUCAGGAGACCCCUUAGGACCAAGCCGGAGCUCUGGCAGAACGAAGGCCAAAAGAAGCUGCAGAGAAGUCUUCUACACAGUUCGAAAAUGCCACUUGACACAUUGAAUCCUCUGGGGCAACACCAUAAGGCUGUUGAUUCUGUGUUAUGAUGGCCUGAAAACAGAGAUGACCAUGAAUGCAAAUUCACAAGCUGGGAAGCAGCAGAGAGAGCAAAGGAGCCAUAGUUCCAGGAAUCAACAGAAUGCUUGGGGGAGAUUCCACACAUCACAGAAAAGGCCAUCAGCUGGAGUCUAGGACAGGGCUCUCAAACUAUGGCCCAUAGGCCAGAUUCAGCCAACCAUCUGUUUUGGUAAAUAAAGUUUUAUUAGAACACAGUUACCCCCAUGUGUUUAUGUAUUGUCUGUGACUGCUUUCACACUAAAAUGGCAGAGCUGAGUAGUUGUGACAGAGACCAGA
rnacentral:lncRNA from 1 species